AGAGUUUGAUCAUGGCUCAGAUUGAACGCUGGCGGCAGGCUUAACACAUGCAAGUCGAGCGGAGAUGAGGUGCUUGCACCUUAUCUUAGCGGCGGACGGGUGAGUAAUGCUUAGGAAUCUGCCUAUUAGUGGGGGACAACAUUCCGAAAGGAAUGCUAAUACCGCAUACGUCCUACGGGAGAAAGCAGGGGAUCUUCGGACCUUGCGCUAAUAGAUGAGCCUAAGUCGGAUUAGCUAGUUGGUGGGGUAAAGGCCUACCAAGGCGACGAUCUGUAGCGGGUCUGAGAGGAUGAUCCGCCACACUGGGACUGAGACACGGCCCAGACUCCUACGGGAGGCAGCAGUGGGGAAUAUUGGACAAUGGGGGGAACCCUGAUCCAGCCAUGCCGCGUGUGUGAAGAAGGCCUUAUGGUUGUAAAGCACUUUAAGCGAGGAGGAGGCUACUGAGACUAAUACUCUUGGAUAGUGGACGUUACUCGCAGAAUAAGCACCGGCUAACUCUGUGCCAGCAGCCGCGGUAAUACAGAGGGUGCGAGCGUUAAUCGGAUUUACUGGGCGUAAAGCGUGCGUAGGCGGCUUUUUAAGUCGGAUGUGAAAUCCCCGAGCUUAACUUGGGAAUUGCAUUCGAUACUGGGAAGCUAGAGUAUGGGAGAGGAUGGUAGAAUUCCAGGUGUAGCGGUGAAAUGCGUAGAGAUCUGGAGGAAUACCGAUGGCGAAGGCAGCCAUCUGGCCUAAUACUGACGCUGAGGUACGAAAGCAUGGGGAGCAAACAGGAUUAGAUACCCUGGUAGUCC
rnacentral:rRNA from 1 species